UGGUGAAAGUAAAAAUUCUAUCUCUUUUGCAUGUUUGUUUUUGUUUUAUCGAUAUCGGCAAAGUGAUUCUAAGGUUUGGAUUCUGGCUCCAUAGUUUUAUUUGAUAAAGCUAUUGAUUAAUUUAUUUUUAAAAUUUUAAAAAUUAGUUUUCAUUGUAUGGUCAACAUCCAACAGUGAUAUCAGUGCCAUCCUUAUCUGAUUCGAUCAAACAAGUGCAAAAUAGUUGCAUAGAAUUGUUAUUGAUCAUAUAUUGCCAAAUAUGUUACAUUGAUUUUUAGCAUUGAUCUUUAAUCU
rnacentral:lncRNA from 1 species